CAUAUACUCCCUCCGUUCCAAAUUACUUGUCGCAGGUAUGGAUGUAUCUAGAUGUAUUUUAGUUCUAGAUACAUCCAUUUCUGCGACGAGUAAUUUGAAACUGAGGGAGUAGUAA
rnacentral:pre_miRNA from 1 species